rnacentral:pre_miRNA from 1 species
CGUGUAUUCUUGGGUGUAUAACACUACAUGUAUAUGGAUGUUAUUGCUUGAGAAUACACGUU